rnacentral:rRNA from 1 species
CGAGACCUUAACCUGCUAAAUAGCCAGACCGUCUUUUGAUGGUUGCAGGCUUCUUAGAGGGACUGUCAGGAUCUACCUGACGGAAGUUUGAGGCAAUAACAGGUCUGUGAUGCCCUUGACCGAUAAUACGAUCACUACGUUGUAUUACAUCUAGGGGUAAAAAGUAGGCUCAAAGUGUCCUGCUAGUGGUGGUACGCUUACCAUUGCAACACGUUCAAAUUGCGGGAAAUUCCUAAAGCUCUGUGUUACCG